CACACACACACACACACACACACACACACACACACACACACACACACAUACAGAUUAAUUGCAUCUUUAUUAUAUGUGACAAUAUCCUGUGAGGGAUACUGCCCACUAAGCGUUUGCCCACAUGACAUCUGCUGAUGUUUACACACAUUCUCAUUACGCGGAAUGUCCCCACAUAAUCUAUUUACUGUAUAUGUUUAGAAUAAUGCAUGCAUGCCUACAUACAUGCACAUGCAUUAUAUCAUCAAUAUACAGCAUCUGAUCCAGGAGCUAGUUUAACAUUGUAGCAGUAAUUGAUGCGUUGAUGCAGCUACACACACCCUUACACAAAUGCAAACAAACGAUUAAAGUGAUUAAUAUGUUAAUCUGUCUGUGUCAGUCCUAAAACAAACAAAUGAAAUAUGCUGAUUCUGCUCACGCGUUAGAUGCAUGAUGGGGGGAUUAGACAUGUACACACGUCUGUAUGAGUUGGGUUAUCACAUGUAAUCUGUAAUUAUACAGAUAAGGGGCAUGGGACGUGUAUAAUUCUUAUGACCUGGUAAAGAGAUGAAUGUAGUUACAACCCCAAACAGGAUUAAUAACAACUAAAAUAUUCAUAUUAUAAGGAGAUGGGAUAAAAGUUUCCGACACAUAAAUUGUUGUCUAUGUUCUGCCGAAUAAGUUAGUUAUUUUUUUAUUUAUUUUUAAGCGUAUUUUGAAAAAGAAUUUGGUCCACAAACCAGUAUGCUCUCCUUAGCUUAGCUCAGUUGGCAAUGAGACAAUAGCUUUGUACUGUGUACUCUAUUUGUACCAUUGGCUCUUGACUCAUAACUGUCCACAACCUUUUCUCUUUUGUAGAGAAGGUUAAAUAAAAGCAAAGGGUGUAACAGAGUAACUAUGACAGCUAAACAUCACCAAAGUUCCUCUAGACUAAAUCUUUUGAUGCACGUAGCAUAUAAUGUCUCCAUCUUCUACAUAACAAAACAUAGAAGCAUAACCAGUUGGUGCAGUGCAGACUGACUGAGAGAUUAACACAGUAUCUGUCUCCCCAUUAUAAAUGGUAUUGAGAGACAUUACUUAUUGAAUAAAGAUAGGGACAACUUGGUACCAACCUUAUAAACUCUAAAAUCAACAUAGCAGGUGCUCUUGCAGCAGCCCAUCAAUAUUUUUUCCCAGUUUUCUUACUCUUUACUGCAACUGAUUGUUGACUCUGUUCGAUUAUUUGAUGCCAAGCUAGCUCAAUAAUCAAAGUGGCAUAAAGAUGCAAAUGUUUCCGGAUAACAGGAUGAACGUCCAUUCAGUUUCUUUUUUGAGGCAGAGCUACAUUCAGGUGGCCUCUGAGCAUGUGGGUAUGUACAUGCAUGAGAGGGAGUAGAGAUUAUCAUAAUGGAGAACUGCCAGAAAAGUGUGUGUGUGCGUGUGUGUGUGUGUGUGAGAGAUGGAAUGAUGCCAAUGAGUCUGGAUGGUUCAGCAUUAGCUUCAGAUCAGAGCGUCGUGUCAUGAUCCUUCUACGGUCUAUGUGAGUCUGUGCGCAUGUACAUGCAUGCAUUUGGCAUGGUUGAUAACCACGAGUCUCUACUGCCCGACUCCGUUCAUCAUCCCCUCAUCAGCUUUCCACUCCGCCAGUCAGUCCUCUCAUAAGCGGGUCACCAGCAAUGCACACAGACUGCUACCAACUUCCCAAACCAGUCAUAAGACGCCCGGUCCUCUCAUCGCGCCCAAGAACCGUCAGUCAGGGUGUCCUUAAUUGUCAUGUGGAGAUAAAACAGGCUGCAGCUGAAGCCAUCUCACAUCAGCAUCAUCCAGCAGAGCCUUUUGUAUGUUACACACGAGUGCUGUAUGAAUAAAGUUCCACGGUUAGUUGCUUGCACAUUGUUAUUGCCUUUUGGUUGCCUGAACUUAUACCAUGGACGUAUUACAUGAUAUGCAAGUUAACGUACUCUCUCAUGUGGUCAGGCAGACGGUCAACCUUUUAGCCUACAGUGCUUGCUACAAGUCUUCAGGUUCUUCAAUGGAACGGCCAUUAAAUGACAGCAAUAAUUUAGUUCACAGAUUAGUUUUCAAUAGAUGUUUCUCUAAUGUUGUAUUCGUUGAUAGCUGUUUCUUUCUACAAUGUCUCCUGCUUAGUUGGGCUAAUUCAAAAGUAGCUUUCACCUGCAUGUGAACGAUAUUCUGCAAGCAUGAAAUAUGAUAAAAAUGUAUUUGUCUGAAAGGUAACCAAAUUUAUUUUAGCAUGUUGGCCUCCAAUGGUCUAGUUGGUUGCCAUGGUCAGUUGCCAUGCAUUUCAACAGUUUCACAGCCAAAGUCUUUAUAUUGUACAACAAGUUUGUCUCAAAAUGCAGUUGAUAGUUUUUUUUUCCCCACCAUAAAAGCCAGUAUAGCAAAUCAUUUACCAUACGGCUUUUGUCAGUCGGCCUGUGUAUUCUUCUACAUUAUUAAACAUGUCUGAGAGUUUCGAAUGUAAUUCUUUUGAAUAUCUGUGACUGGGCAGCAUCUUGGCUGCAGUAAUCAGCGGUGGACUGGAGCCAAGAUGGCAGAUGGCAGAUUGUCUGCAGGGUGUGGAUUCCUUCAGGGCCUCUGAUACAGCAAACACAGACAACCAGUUCUCUCCUGGAGCAACAGUAUGUAUACACCCGGGUUGCCGCGGCAACCAGAAGAGGCCACAUGAGCGGGAGGAUGAACAAAAGACCCAGAGACCCUCAUCCACAUAGAGAGAUCGAGAGGGAGUGGGAAAAUCAGAUUUCAUUUUUAGGCGAGGGGGUUUGCAGUGUGUGUGUGUGUGUGUGUGUGUGUAAAACGAGGAGGUGGAGGAGGAGGAAGAGGAGGGGGGAUUGAUAGCGUAGGUGAGGUGAGUUCAUAAAUGAAAGAAAGGAAGAUGGAGUGAGACAGAGAGAGAGAGAGAGAGGGGAAGGGGGACGGGAGGAGGGGGGAUGUUAAAAAAUAGAAAAAAUGAACCGUGUAUAAAGACAAAAAGCCUAAAAGAUACAGUUCAUAAUGGAAAAUUUGCAGCUUGCCAAGUGUAGAAGAUUGGAUUAUUUUAUUUAUCAUUUUGAGACCUAUUUGUGUAAAGAAAUAGGUAUUCUUAGGAAUAUCUUGCAGGUAUUUCAUUGCAUGUAAUUUAGGCUCCAUGUUAGUCAUAGGGUGUGUCAAAAAAUGGAAAUACCAGCCGAGUAUACAGUGUCUAAUAUACAGCAGGAUUUUUGAAAGCAGAAGUACGGGAUGUGACCAAAAUCUAUUUACUCUCAUGAACCAUUUUUUAUGUCUAUUUUUUAUAAUUAAUAGAAUAUGAAAUGAUGUACAUAAUUAUAGUGAAAUAAAUCCCUUCUUUUAAUA